rnacentral:rRNA from 1 species
UACGAGAGGCCCAAACGUUAUUCGGAUUUACUGGGCGUAAAGGGCGCGUAGGCGGCGUAACAAGUCACUUGUGAAAUCUCCGGGCUUAACUCGGAGCGGUCAAGUGAUACUGUUGUGCUAGAGUGCGGAAGGGGCUACUGGAAUUCUCGGUGUAGCGGUGAAAUGCGUAGAUAUCGAGAGGAACACCUGCGGCGAAGGCGGGUAGCUGGGCCGACACUGACGCUGAAGCGCGAAAGCUAGGGGAGCGAACGGG